rnacentral:rRNA from 1 species
UACGUAGGGGUGCAAGCGUUGUCCGGAAUUAUUGGGCGUAAAGAGCUUGUAGGCGGUUUGUCGCGUCUGCCGUGAAAAUUCGAGGCUCAACCUCGAACUUGCGGUGGGUACGGGCAGACUAGAGUGUGGUAGGGGAGACUGGAAUUCCUGGUGUAGCGGUGAAAUGCGCAGAUAUCGGGAGGAACACCGGUGGCGAAGGCGGUUCUCUGGGCCUGUACUGACGCUGAGGAGCGAAAGCGUGGGGAGCGAACAGG